GUAAAUCUAAAUGCAGUUUUACCAUUGCUCUUUCUAAUGGAUUUUGCUAGAAAACAGUCGAGUUUCAAGCAGGACUAAAAUGAAAGGAGACCUUGGAGUCUUAACCGUUGAACAGAUGCUCUAAAUGCAGCUUUGAAAAUAUAGCUGUCACUUCAGAUCUUUUCCACUGAGUUCCUAUGUAAGCCAAUUGCCAGAGCUUCUGGCAUUAUAAUGUUUUCAUAGUUACGUGUAAAAUAGACACUGUGAGAACUCAUAAAACAGAGCAACGAGCCUAUUAUCAACCUAUUUUUAACUAUUUCUUGGUUUUCAUUCUAAAUAUUUGGAAGACCAAAACUAAUGAGAACUUAUAAUAAAAUGGUACUUGUGUAGCAGUGAUAUUGUUCAUUUGUGAGUUGCUAACUUGUCAAACCAGAUCAGAAAUUCUUGAAUCUUUAUUACAUUAAAACAAUUCCUGAUAUUGACUCUUGGGAAGGAUUUAAUUUUCCUCUCUAAACUGAAAAUUUUCCUCUCUAAACUGAAACUUCUCCUCUCUAAACUGAAACUUUUCCUUUCUGUAAUGAUGUGAGGUUUUUUCCUUACCCCAGUAGUAGUAUAUACCUAUGUGUGUGCAGAUGGAUAUAAUGCAUAUAGACACUAGUAUGUGUACGUAUAUAUAUACUCACAAUAGGAAAUUCUGGA
rnacentral:lncRNA from 1 species